ensembl:snRNA U6 U6 spliceosomal RNA
GUGCUCACUUCAGCAGCACAUAUUUAAAACUGGAAUGAUACAGAGAUUAGCAUGGCCCCUGUGCAAGGAUGACACACAAAUCUGUGAAGCAUUCCAUAUGUGU